GGGAAUAUUGGGCAAUGGCCGCAAGGCUGACCCAGCGACGCCGCGUGCGGGAGGACGCCCCUCGGGGUGUAAACCGCUGUCAGGAGGGACGAACCGCCCUGUGGUGAACAGCCAUGGGGUCUGACGGUACCUCCAGAGGAAGCGCCGGCUAACUCCGUGCCAGCAGCCGCGGUAAUACGAAGGGGGCUAGCGUUGCUCGGAAUCACUGGGCGUAAAGCGCACGUAGGUGGGUCGCUUAGUCGGGGGUGAAAUCCUGGAGCUCAACUCCAGAACUGCCUUCGAUACUGGCGAUCUUCGAGUCCGGGAGAGGUGGGUGGAACUGCGAGUGUAGAGGUGAAAUUCGUAGAUAUUCGCAAGAACACCAGUGGCGAAGGCGGCUCACUGGCCCGGUACUGACACUGAGGUGCGAAAGCGUGGGGAGCAAA
rnacentral:rRNA from 1 species